GCUGCUAUUGAACCGCGUGAUUCAGGUUAGACGACCAGAGGCAUUCCACUUGUUUGUACAUUGACUACUACUUGGAUGUGAUGAAAAUAAUUAUUUUUAGAAGAAAUAAUUAUAUGAACAUAAUGAAUAAUCAUCAAAUCACGAAUGCAUAUAUGUCAGUACAUUGGAAUGGUUUUUAACUUUGUCACUUACCACUUACUGAUAAGAAGUGAAAAAAAGAGCCACAAUAACCAGUCAACCCAUUUCUUAAAUCAUUUUGUUCGCACUUGUAUAAGUCAAAUCAGAUUAUGAAGUUAAAACAGUCAUAUUAGUUUGAAAAUAUGAUUAAUAUGAUUUGCAUUAUAUUUCUAUUUUUACAAAAUUUUGUCUGAUUUCUAAUGUUUCCCUAAGUUUUAGUUUGCUUUGUUAUUUUGUAUACCAUCUGUCGAACCAAACCUAUGUCCCUACCCAAUUUCUGGUUCAUACCCCCUUACAUUACAGGUCACCGACUUCACACAAAACAAAAAAUUCUCAGUAAUCAAUUUUUAAUCAAGAUUUUAUUUUUUUAUAAAUUGAUUAAUCAAAAUAUAAGAAACUAUUAAACAAGUUCAGAUGUAUAGUUUGAUAUUGUAAGUCAUAACAUAUUCCGACUUCACCAGAAGCAUCACAUCAUUUUCAGAAAAUAUUUUGACUUCAUUUGUUAGGCAGUAUCACUGUAAUGAGUUUUAACUAUGAAAUAAAUAGAUAUAAAUCUGAGCUUUUAUUGUAAGAGAUACUGGACAUGGCAGGACAGACAGGUGGGCAACAAGUGAUCCAAAUGCCCGCUGCGGAAAGAGUUCUCAUCAAACACAAACUCGUGAAAUUAAACGCAAUUCAAUUUUCAUUCGUUGAAAUGUGGGAUCUUUGGUCUCGCAUUCGGUUUUCUAAAUUGAUGGGGUUAUUGGUAUCACACACAAAUCUUGUUGUCUCGGACACCUGCUUGUUAUUUCUAGGUGUCAAAUGCAUCUGUCAAAUUAUUAAAAGUAUUAUACGUGCAUCUUACUAUAUAGAAAUGACAUUAUAUAUGUUUUCUUUAGUAGUUCAACUCCAUAUUCAUCAUCUAUAUAAUUAUCUUAAAGCUGUCAAUUUGCAUUCAAGAUAUCGUGUAAACAAUCAUGUGAACCAUAUUGUCACUGCAGCAGUGUGCAGUGAGAUGUAUGUAAUUUUAGGCUGUUUAUAUUUCUUGUUAUAUGUUGUUUUAAUUGAAUUUCCACUUUCCUAGAUGUUUCAUUUCUGCAUCUUUUUCUUAAUCCUUUUCCACAUAAAGUCCCAUAGGGCAGGUUAUGUGUUAAUGUAUAGGCAUAGAGAAAUCCAAGCCAAAGAGCAAACUGUAGGUCUACCCUAUAUUGUUCCGAUUUGAAUAGGUUAAUCAAGUUCAUUGUCUGGUUUUCUGUUAAGACAUGGUCAGAGUACCAGCAACUCUAAUUGGGAAACAAUAAGUAACUUAAGAACAUAGCAAAAGAAUAAUCUAUGUUGGUUCAGUUUGUGCAUGCUUUAUAUAGAGAGAAAAAGCUUUCAGCUAUCAGUUUUAUCAAAGUUUUCAGAGAGAGAGCAACAGAGAUUCAGAGAAAGAGAUAGAACUCCUAAGUUGUACUUUUGACAAGCUUCUCAUCUAGAUUUUACAAGUGAGCUAUAUAGGGUGUAAUCUGCUUAAAGCCUCCAAUUGUAUUUUAUCUCAAUCUUGGUUCGUCUGGGAUGAUGAAAUAAAGCACCAUUUCACAUAAGCCAACACCAUUUUUGUGAAUAUAUUUCUUUUGGAGUGUAUUGACUUUGAAACUCCGCAUUGGUUACCAAGGGUAAAGUGCGGCAGUCA